rnacentral:rRNA from 1 species
GACGAACGCUGGCGGCGUGCCUAAUACAUGCAAGUCGAACGGUUUAGUUCCAAGAGGCAAGACUCUUGGAACUAAGCAGUGGCGGACGGGUGAGUAACACGUAGGCAACCUACCUGUCAAACCGGGAUAACCUCGGGAAACCGAAGCUAAACCCGGAUAAGCUCCUUUUUCGCAUGAAGGGGGAGUGAAAAGGUGCGACCUGAUGACAGAUGGGCCUGCGGCGCAUUAGCUAGUAGGUAGGGUAACGGCCUACCUAGGCGAUGACGCGUAGCCGACCUGAGAGGGCGUACGGCCACACUGGGACUGAGAUACGGCCCAGACUCCUACGGGAGGCAGCAGUAGGGAAUCUUCGGCAAUGGGCGAAAGCCUGACCGAGCAACGCCGCGUGAGUGAGGAAGGCCUUCGGGUUGUAAAACUCUGUUGUUUGGGAAGAAGGGAAAGGGUAGGACCCUUUGGUGACGGUACCAAACGAGAAAGCGCCGGCUAACUACGUG